CCAGCCCCGCCCCGCGCCACCGCGCCAGCCAAUCCUUGGGAGGGUUCCGCCCAUUCUCUUGCCCCAUUGGGGAAAUUCAAUUUGGAGGCCGCGCCCCCAGGGCAGGUCCCGCCCCAUGCGGUCCUGGUUGUAGGGGAUUGUAGUCUUGCGGCCCCGCGACCUUGGCUGGUUGGGCAGGGGACAGCAGGAGGACGGAGCUUCGCACCAAAGUCGCGAAGGGUUGUGGAUGAAGCCAGGUCUCCAGCCUGGGUGUGGAUUCCCCCAGGGUAGCUCCUCCCUUCUGAAGUGAAGUCAAUCCUCCAAUGGGAUUCAACCGUAAGCCCCCACUGGGCCUGUGGAAUUUUGGACCUUGAAGAAAGAAUGCCCUACUUUCCACCAAGGAGCAAUCAGGAUUCUGGAAUAUGACCAAUCAGGAUUCUGGAAUAUGACCAAUCAGAUCUUAUUUAUUUGACAGAGAAAGACAGAGAGAGAGCACAAGCAGGGAGAGCAGCAGGCAGAGGGACAAGUGGACUCCCCAGUGAGCAGGGAACCCGACGCGGGGCUCGAUCCCGGGAACUUGGGAUCGUGACCUGCGCCGAAGGUGGACGCUCAACCGACGGAGCCACCCAGGUGCCCCAUCCACCGAUUUUCCACCCUCCGCUGGUCAAGGGCUCUUCUGGGGUGCCAUGCCUUGCCACUUCCAGCUUACCCGCAGCGGCAACAGGGUGAAAGAAAAAUGGUGAUUUGAGAAGCCUGUUUUAAGAUCCUGGAUGUCACUGGCCCCGGAAUUCCAGGUCUCCCGUGAUGCAGACCACCACGAGAUGCUUCUGGAAAAUACAGCGGCCUGGGACCCAUCCUGGGAGAGUCUGAUUCUCUGGGCAUAGGGAGACCUGGGCCCAGCCGUGUCUGCUCAUCCCCACCACUGCCAGAAGGUCUUCAACGACAGCAGGUGAACCAGAACAGCACUCCUCCCCAACAGAUGGCAGCAAUGGGGAUUGAGCAGGAACCUCAGCAUCCCCAGGAGAACGAAGCAGUUGAUAAUAGCUUUGCAAGGGCUCAGAAAAUUAAGCUGCCAUUAGAACUCAAGCCCACAGAAACAGGCCAGAACUUACACCUCAACAGGGAGAUCGAUAAAAUACAAGAUUUCCGUAGGAUCAAGAGCCUCCUGGGGUGCCUGGGUGGCACAGUGGUUAAGCGUCUUGCCUUUGGCUCAGGGCGUGAUCCCAGCGUUGUGGGAUCGAGCCCCACAUCAGGCUCUUCCGCUGUGAGCCUGCUUC